rnacentral:pre_miRNA from 1 species
AAAGUACUCUCUCCGUCCCAAAAUUCUUGUCUUAGAUUUUUCUAGAUACAGAUGUAUCAAGUCACAUUUUAGUAUUAGAUACAUCCGUAUCUAGACAAAUCUAAGACAAGAAAUUUGGGACAGAGGGAGUAGUUG